AUGCAAGUUAGUAAAGGCUCGGGGUGGAUGCCUCGGCAGCCGGAGGCGAUGAAGGGCGUGCUAAGCUGCGAUAAGCCGGGUGGAGGCGCAAAGAGCCUUUGAGGCCCGGAUGCCCGAAUGGGGAAACCCGGCAGGCGAUAAGCCUGUCAUCCCGCUUAUGCGGGAGGCCACACUCCGCGAAGCAAAACCUUUUAGUAGCGGAAGGAAAGGAAAUCAAUUGAGACGCCCUUAGUAGCGGCGAGCGAACGGGGCAUAGCCCAAACCCUGUGGGUGCCAUGGCGGCGGCCUUAGCCCACAGGGGGUAGUGGGACACGUCCGGAGGAAUCCGCCGGUUCCUCGGGGAGUUACAAAACUCCCACCUAACCGAAGUCCGCUGGAAUGCGGUGCCGUAGAGGGUGAAAGCCCCGUAGGUUAAAGGUGUGGAGUCUCCCUGGGGCGUGUUCCCGAGUACCACGGCCCACGUGGAAGGUUGUGGGAAUCUGGGGGGACCACCCUCCAAGGCUAAGUACUACCGGCUGACCGAUAGCGUAUAGUACCGUGAGGGAAAGGUGAAAAGAACCCCGGAAGGGGAGUGAAAUAGAACCUGAAACCCCGGGUCUACAAGCCAGUGGAAGGGUCCUUGUGGCCCGACUGCGUGCCUUUUGCAGAAUGAGCCAGGGAGUUGUCUUCAGGGGCUAGGCUAAGCCGUCAGGCGAAGCCGUAGCGAAAGCGAGUCCGAAUAGGGCGUUUAAGUCCCUGGGGGCAGACGCGAAGCGGGGCGAUCUACCCUUGCCCUGGGUGAAGGCCGGGUAAAACCGGCUGGAGGCCCUAAGGGGUCGGUGCUGCAAAACCGUCCUGUGAGGUGAGGGUAGCGGUGAAAAGCCAAUCGCGCCCCGUGAUAGCUCGUUCUCCCCGAAAUGCAUCGACGUGCAGCGUCGUCCGUUCCUUCCCGGGGGUAGAGCCACUGGUUGGGCUAGGGCCCCGAGAGGGGUACCGAACCCUGCCAAACUCCGAAUACCGGGAAAGGUAGGACGGUAGUGAGUCUCCGGGGGAUAAGCUCCGGUGGACAAGAGGGAAACAACCCAGACCGCCGGCUAAGGUCCCAAAAUCCGGGCUAAGUGGUAAAGGAAGUCCACCUCCUAAGACAGCCGGGAGGUUGGCUUAGAGGCAGCCAUCCUUUAAACAGUGCGUAACAGCUGACCGGUCGAGGGGGUGGGCGCCGAAAAUUUAGCGGGGCUCAAGCCCGGUACCGAAGCCGCGGGUCAGUAUCCACUCCGGUGGGUACUGGCGGUAGGGGAGCGUUCCCUGUGGGCUGAAGCUACGCCGUGAGGCGUGGUGGACUGCAGGGAAGUGAGAAUCCUGGCAUGAGUAGGAGCGAAGGCAGGUGAGAAACCUGCCCGCCGGAAGCCCAAGGUUUCGGUGGCAAUGGAAAUCAGCCAUCGGUUAGCCGGGACCCUAAGGCGAGGCCGAUGAGGCGUAGCCGAUGGGAAGCGGGUCAACAUUCCCGCGCCAGCGAUGUGGAGCCAGAGUCGUGACGCAGGAGGCUAACCCGGGCCCGCUAUGGAAUGCGGGUGUAAGGUAGUAGGGGGGAGGCGUAGGCAAAUCCGCGCCUCCAUAACCCCGAGAGCCGAUGCGGCAACUCGGGUGACGCCACACUGCCAAGAAACAAUGGCGCUGGCUUUGAAGCAUCGCUGCCCGUACCGGAAACCGACACAGGUGGGCUGGGUUAGGAGCCCAAGGCGUCGGGGGAACUCUCCUCAAGGAACUCGGCAAAUUGGCCCCGUACCUUCGGAAGAAGGGGUGCCCAUGGGGGUGUAGUCCCUCGCGGACGAAGCUCCUGUGGGUCGCAGUGACCGGGCGGUGCCGACUGUUUACCAAAAACACAGGACUACGCAAACCCGAAAGGGGAUGUAUGUGGUCUGAAGCCUGGCCAGUGCCCGAAGGUUAAAGCCCCGGGUGAUGAGCUCGGGGUCGAAGCCCGGGUAAACGCCGGCCGUAACUAUGACGGUCCUAAGGUAGCGAAAUUCCUUGUCGGGUAAGUUCCGACCUGCAUGAACGGCCCAACGAGUGCCGCACUGUCUCGAGGAGAGUCCCGCCGAAAUUGUAAUGCCGGUCAAGAUGCCGGCUACCCGCGGCUGGACGGAAAGACCCCGUGAAGCUUCACUGCAGCCUGACAUUGAAUCUUAGCCUGUCCUGCGCAGGAUAGGUGGGAGGCUGGGAAGCCCGCCCUCCGGGGCGGGUGGAGCCGCCGGUGAGAUACCACCCUGGGCAGGCUGAGGUUCUAACCCAGCCAGGUGAACCCCUGGCGGGGACCGUGUCAGGUGGGCAGUUUAGCUGGGGCGGCUGCCUCCUAAAAGGUAGCGGAGGCGCCCAAAGGUACCCUCAGGCGGGUCGGAAAUCCGCCGUAGAGUGCAAGGGCAGAAGGGUGCCUGACUGUGAGACCGACAGGUCGAACAGGGGCGAAAGCCGGGCCUAGUGACCCACCGGCUCCAUGUGGGAGGGCCGGUGAUCAGCGGAUAAAAGCUACUCCGGGGAUAACAGGCUAAUCUCCCCCGAGAGCCCACAUCGACGGGGAGGUUUGGUACCUCGAUGUCGGCUCCCCCCAUCCUGGGGCUGAAGCAGGUCCCAAGGGUUGGGCUGUUCGCCCAUUAAAGGGGGACGCGAGCUGGGUUCAGAACGUCGCGAGACAGUUCGGUCCCUAUCCGCCGCGGGCGCAGGAGCCUUGAGGGGGUCCGUCCCUAGUACGAGAGGACCGGGACGGGGCAGGCUCUAGUGUACCGGUUGUUCCUCCAGGAGCAGCGCCGGGUAGCUAUCCUGCUACGGGAUAAGCGCUGAAAGCAUCUAAGCGCGAAGCCCACCCCAAGAUAAGGGCUCCCUGAAGGGCCCCGGAAGACUACCGGGUUGAUAGGCCGCAGGUGGAAGCUCAGCAAUGGGUGAAGCCGAGCGGUACUAAUCGCCCGUUCGACUUGCAUAC
rfam:Hydrogenivirga sp. 128-5-R1-1 1102927038497, whole genome shotgun sequence.